CUCUUGGGAUUGGCUAAUAGAAGAUCUCUGCUGUGAAGCCCAUCUUCAACAUGGCAGGGUCAUUGUUUCCCUCUGGCAAAGGAGAUUUUGUUUGCAACAGGUGAGGUUGAGUUGGUGCAAACUGCAAGCUCUGUGUAGUAGUAACUCCACCAGCUUGGAGGGUCUUUAUCAGAGAACAUCACUCAGUGAUUCAUACAAAAGAGGACAAGAAGCUGAUCUCUGGACAGGAAGCACAGAAAACUUCUGAGCUCGUGCCAGACCUCAGUGAAGUCUAAGGGAGAGCCCAAGAGUUCCAUCAUUGUUCUGUCAUUGUCCUCUCCUGUUAGCACAUGGAGCACAAUCAGACAGCAGUCCUACCAAGAGCCUCUAGGGGCUACUGCAGUUUAAUAAAUCACAAUAUAUAAAAUGCAAACCAGUUUUUAGUCUGAUAUGGGCUGUGUUAAUCUCUGGUGUGCUAUCUUGGACUUCAGAAGAGUUACAAGCAAUGGAAUAUUGCCCACUGAACCUUUGCUGACUGUUCUCACAUUGCCAGGAAGGAUAAAGGAUAAAGUUUUCUUUUGUGUGAGAGGGCCUGAACUUCCAACAUCUCCAAGAGCGCAGAAAGUGCAAAGGAAGAAGAUUUCAGCAGUAACUCAGUUAUGGCAACAAAAAGCAUUCCCCAGACAAAAAGCAAAAUGCCACAUGGAAAUGCAAUGCUCCUGAGUAGACACCAAAGAGCCUGGUCCUCUCUGUCCCAAGUGUUAUCUCUUGGAGCAGCCUCUUGAUUUACUGAUGCAUUCAGGAUCUGCUGGAUGAGUAUCAUACAUCAAUGAACUUCACCAAGAGUUUAGCUUCAGUACAAAGUCUUUUAUAUCAAUUUUUUAAAAAGUGCUUCCAUUCCCAAACACUAUCAUGGUAGAGAACCAGUUUCCUGAUGCAGGGAAUCUGCAAGGAAGUGGUAGAAUUUAUCAUAUCUUAGAGGGGGAAAAUUCAAUCAAAUAACACUCUGGAUAGCCCUCAAAAUAAA
rnacentral:lncRNA from 1 species